GAUUCUCUAGCCUGACCUGCUUCUCCCUCACAAGGCAGGAACCUGUUCUUUUAAAAAGGAUUCCAUUAGCCAUUGUGAGGGAAGGCUACGUACGGGGCGCAGGCAGAAACAGGAAGCCAGAGCGGAGGCUGUGGCAGCAGUCAGGGAGAGAUGACCUGGGCUGCACGGGUCAGGGUUGGUAGGUGUCUGGGAUGAAGGAAGAGUAAGUGCGCAGACAGGACAGAGAUCCUAGGGUCUCCUCCCCUAGGAAUCCGGCCAUGUCCUAAGGACAAUGUGACGUGGCUCCAUCAGGACAGAGGUGCUAGGGCAGAUGAAGGCCUCAAGUUGUGUGAAACAUCUCAGCUGUUCCCACCAUGAGGCCAGAUCUGUGGCUGCUCUGGCACUGCACACAACACUAGGCUGGCUGAACUGGGGCCUGACCUCCAUGUAUCCUCAUCUUCAAACCCGAGAACAUGCAGCUUCGGUGAAACAAACUGGGCCUGAGAAUGGGGGUGAAGAACUCACUUGCCCCAGCCAUGGCCUGGAAGAAAAAUCGUAUGACUGACUCUUACUCUGGGAUCCUCUCAGCCUCUUGGCCUCCACCCUCCUCUGCUCCCUGAGGUUUGUCUCAUCAUAGAAAAUGAAGAACCGCCCCCCCCAAAAGAAAAUGAAGA